AUUAAAAACCGAUGCCCUCUGGGCUUACAGGUGAUUCAUGAUAACUUCUCGAAUCGCAUGGCCUUGCGCCGGCGAUGGUUCAUUCAAAUCUCUUCCCUAUCAACUUUCGAUGCGAAGGUCUUGUCUUCGCAUGGUUACAACGGGUAACGGAGGGUUAGGGCUCGAUCCCGGAGAAGGAGCCUGAGAAACGGCUACUACAUCCAAGGAAGGCAGCAGGCGCGCAAAUUACCCAAUCCCGGCACGGGGAGGUAGUGACAAAAAAUACUGAUACAGGGCUCUUUUGGGUCUUGUAAUUGGAAUGAGUACAAUUUAAAUCCCUUAACGAGGAACAAUUGGAGGGCAAGUCUGGUGCCAGCAGCCGCGGUAAUUCCAGCUCCAAUAGCGUAUAUUAAAGUUGUUGUGGUUAAAAAGCUCGUAGUUGAACCUUGGGCCUGGCUGGCCGGUCCCCCUCACCGGGUGCACUGAUCCAGCCGGGUCUUUCCCUCUAUGGAACCCCAUGGCCUUCACUGGUCGUGGC
rnacentral:rRNA from 1 species